GUAAUUCUCGUUAACGAGGUUCAAGACACAUAUGUGGCCCGCAACUAGAGGUUGUCAACCUGAUAUAUCGAUCCCAUGAGAGUCUUGCCCGUGUUUAAGGUUGAAUUAGAGGAGCUUUAGAAAACCUCAAGGGCAUGAGCUCAAGGAAUCUCUGUUUGCUUGUGACUUAUUUCCUCUCUACAGCACUGGUGUUGCCGUGCAGAAACCUGAUCAUGCUCUACAUGGACUACAUGCAACGGUGAAGUGUGAAAUCGCCGUGUUAGUGUAGCU
rnacentral:misc_RNA from 1 species